AAACUCCCCGGCAGUUCCAGUUCCGAUCCGCAUACGGGCCCGAAUACUACUCUACACUAAUCACUGCCUUCGGCUUUUUUCGUUACGCGCUCUUCAAGUGGUUUGACCCGAGAUGACCUUUUGUUGCUACUGAAGCAAAUAUGGCCGACCAUUGAUGAAUGAGGAUAUCUGUUAUCAACUUUACCAUUAUACAUGAAUAAAAACGAUAAUUAUGGUGACAAAACAGCACAAUGUUUAGACUGAAUCAUAAUGAACAUGAUGAAUAAAACAAAAAGUGUAUAUUAGCUAUGUCAACCAGAAGGACUUUGAACACAGUUAUUGAAUUAGUUUCCAUGGAGACUUUAACAGAAAUUGUUAAGACUUGGAACCAGACAGAAUGAAACUGUGAGAAAGUUUACAUAUACAUGUACCAUGUGUACAGUGUACAUGUAGCUUCGAUAUGAAUCAAUUGAUACACCAUCACAAUUAUGUCAACCUAAUCAUUGGAAGUUUACCAAGUCAUAUGAGAAGCAUUGAAAGCCUGUAGUGAUUCUACAUGUAUACAUUAAUGGAAUAGACUCACACUUACAAAUAACAAGACUAAUGCACUCAUCAACAAGGAUUAUUCAUUUUUCAAUGAGUGAAUUGAAGUGCAUACUAGCUGCGCAUGGAAAUUUGUGUGCAUUUUUAAAUAUUUAUUUUUGUUUUAUUAAAUUUUUGUUUUAAAAAAUUGCAUGUCUUCAUAAAUUAAGCAUGAACAUACAUGUAUUGUUGUUAUUAAUUAAAAUAGAAAUAAAGAAUA